rnacentral:rRNA from 1 species
CCCUUAGAUGUCCUGGGCCGCACGCGCGUUACACUGAUGCAUUCAACGAGCUUAUAACCUUGGCCGAGAGGCCUGGGCAAUCUUGUUAACGUGCAUCGUGAUAGGGAUAGAUUAUUGAAAUUAUUAAUCUUGAACGAGGAAUUCCUAGUAAACGCAGAUCAUCAAUCUGCAUUGAUUACGUCCCUGCCCUUUGUACACACCGCCCGUCGCUACUACUGAUUGGACGUUUAAGCAAGAUUUUUAAACACUGACAGUGUGUAGUUCACGCUAUACUACAGUGAGAAGAAGAAGAUCGAGCUUACUUGUCUAGAGGAAGUAAAAGUCGUAACA